GUGGGAGGGGGCUUGCUCCCGAUAGCGGUGGGUCAGUUAACCAUUAAGUGACUGACACACUGCAAUCGGGGGCAAGCCCCCUCCCAC
rnacentral:misc_RNA from 1 species